AGAAUCUGCUGUGGAAGGAGAGACUUGGGCUGGAUCCGCCUUCCCCCUGAGGAUUCCGAGAAGCCAGACUGGUAACAUUUUUGGCCCCGGGUCCCCAGACCGCAGUCCAAGAAGGCGGCUCCUACCUACCUACUUACUUUGAACUCUCUGACCCAGUAAGGUUGCCAAACAAAUCACAACCAGAACUCUCUAAUCCUUGAAAUCUGGGAGGCUUCCCAGUCAGCGGCAGGCAAGAAGCAGCCCGGGAAAACGGAGCAAAGAGGUGGAAUCAAAUGACACGGGGAAAUUAUCCCCUGCAGGCGGUGAGACCGGGUCCUGAAGCUCACCCUCUCACGGCCUGGCCUGCCCGUGUGAGCCUGGGAAAGUGAGUUGGUAUCUCUGGGCCCCCAUCUUCCCAUCUGUGAAAUGGGGAGGUUGCCCUGUCCACAAGGCUACCGUGGGGACCCGAAUAAUACUAUACCCGUAGGUUAGUUCUCUCCUGAACGCCUCCGUUGAAGGGCUCUGCCCCGGGUCACUGAGAACCCAGAGCAUUGCCUCAGUUCUUUUGGUUUCUGUGCUGCAGCCUGACACGACACACCUGCCCCCCCCCUCGGAAGAGUGGGGCUCACCUGAGCUCUCAGCCGCCAGACCCGUGAAUGAGUGUGGGGCGGGGCCUGCCUCUCCCCAGAGGAUUAAGUGAAACUGCUUUGUGAAAUGGAAAGUGCCAUGCAAAUGUGACAGCCACUCACUGGUUUGGCCAGUAUUUACUGGGCCCUUCCCAGGUGCCCUUACCAUCAAGCAGCGGGAGAGGAAACUAGAAGGAAAAAAAAGAAAGAGGCCCCCAGAGAGCUUGCCCCCCCGCCCCCCGGGAGCAGUGUGCAUUUUGUGAGACCCAAAGCUGUUUGCAAGGCAGCACCAGGCCCCCACGCAUUCACGAGAAAACAACAGCAAACACAACUAUCAGAGAAGAAGGGAAUAAAUAAUUUGUGGAGAAGCUUCUAGUACAACUUCCGAGGCAGCGGCAGUGCAGCCAGCCCAGCUCUGGCUGGAACUGUAGGGAAGGAUCUCACCCAACAAAUUCCAGCUGCACCUUAAAAAGUAAUUGGCCCUGGCCAGUGUGGCUCAGUUGGUGAGAACAUCGUCACCUCCACCAAAGGGUUGGGGGUUUGAUCCCCUGUCAGGGCACGUGCCUGGGUUGCAGGUUUGAUUCCGUGUUGGGAUGCAUGUGGGAGGCAACCAAUCAAUUGUUUCUCU